UGCAAAGAUUUAUUCACAAAAAGGAAAGCAUUUUUUCACGUUCUCCGUCAAAAAGGUGAAUGGUGGGAAUCAAUGGGCCACCUCCAAAGUCAUCAAAAGCAGCAUAAUAUCUUAAGUAAUUUAGAAGGUUGAAGAAUGAGAAGUUCCCCUAAUAUACAUAAACAAAUAGUUGACCUUAGUUUCCUGUAAAUGCUAUUGACGACUCAGUAGGCUAAAAAAUACAUUGUUACUUUAAUUUUCCAUUAAGAAAAGUUGGACAGUAUGCACACACACGCACGUGCAUAUGUAACAUGUAUGCAUGCAUGUAUUCACACAGACACUUGUUAGUGUGUCUACAUACUUGGGUUGUGCUACAACUUAUUGAAUUGGUGGCCUAAGUUUUCUUUUAUACAAAAGAAAGUCAACUCUUAUCAUGCGUGUUGUUGAAAAGUUCUAAACUUCAGAUAUACUCCCUUUGUCCUAUAAAGGUAGGCUCACUUUCUUUUUUUCAUCUCUUUUGAAAUUGUAGGCCACUUUCUCUUUUGAAAUUGUAGUGAUAUAGCUCUCCAAAAUAUCAAUGCACUUGACCCUGUGACCCAGACAUUCGGAUACCGGUGCCCUGAACCAUAUACAUAGUUUGGUCCAUGUACAUGAUUCGGUCAUGAUCAUGAUUCAGACUAUCGUUUAGCUCCACAUAUAGUGGCUUGGACACUGUAAGACUCGCCUAACAAGUUGGUAGAGUCCUAGUCGAAGUAUAACUCUAUCUGUUACAUAUGCUCAUCUCUAUCCAUGGGGGACUCCAUGUCCUAAUUCUAAUAGGAUUCCAUCACAAUAUCAAUCCAUCCUACCUGCCCUCUUGGUAGCAGACUCGCAGUAGAAGUGUCCAUCAGAUGCCUAUAAAAGGAACUCACGCCUUCACAACCAAGUAUGUUAUUCUCUCUUUAGUGCAUUAAAAGAUUGCUCUAGAGUGUCAUUAUUGACUUAGGCAUUGGAGAAGUUACUAAGCUAACCAACUAACUCACCCUUGCUCUUGCCUGUUUUGCACAUCCAUACCCUCAGGAUAUAUCCACAGCAACAUCAGGUAGUUUAUUUAUUAGUUUACUA
rnacentral:misc_RNA from 1 species